rnacentral:rRNA from 1 species
AGGGUUUGAUCCUGGCUCAGAUUGAACGCUGGCGGCAGGCCUAACACAUGCAAGUCGAGCGGUAGAGAGAAGCUUGCUUCUCUUGAGAGCGGCGGACGGGUGAGUAAUGCCUAGGAAUCUGCCUGGUAGUGGGGGAUAACGUUCGGAAACGGACGCUAAUACCGCAUACGUCCUACGGGAGAAAGCAGGGGACCUUCGGGCCUUGCGCUAUCAGAUGAGCCUAGGUCGGAUUAGCUAGUUGGUGAGGUAAUGGCUCACCAAGGCGACGAUCCGUAACUGGUCUGAGAGGAUGAUCAGUCACACUGGAACUGAGACACGGUCCGGACUCCUACGGGAGGCAGCAGUGGGGAAUAUUGGACAAUGGGCGAAAGCCUGAUCCAGCCAUGCCGCGUGUGUGAAGAAGGUCUUCGGAUUGUAAAGCACUUUAAGUUGGGAGGAAGGGUUGUAGAUUAAUACUCUGCAAUUUUGACGUUACCGACAGAAUAAGCACCGGCUAACUCUGUGCCAGCAGCCGCGGUAAUACAGAGGGUGCAAGCGUUAAUCGGAAUUACUGGGCGUAAAGCGCGCGUAGGUGGUUUGUUAAGUUGGAUGUGAAAUCCCCGGGCUCAACCUGGGAACUGCAUUCAAAACUGACUGACUAGAGUAUGGUAGAGGGUGGUGGAAUUUCCUGUGUAGCGGUGAAAUGCGUAGAUAUAGGAAGGAACACCAGUGGCGAAGGCGACCACCUGGACUAAUACUGACACUGAGGUGCGAAAGCGUG